ACAUCCCUUGUAUGCUCACUUUCACAUCAGUUCAGUUCAUCUUCAAUGUCAUACCUGCUGCCAGCAGCACAAUGUGACCUACAGAUGCAGCCAUCUGACAAGGGAUUGCUUAAUUCUAUCACAUUUGCAGGAAUGGUGGCCACGUCAUUUCUGUGGGGCUUCUUGUCAGACAUGCUUGGAAGAAGAAAACUGCUGGUCAUUGCUUAUUUUCUGGAUGGAGCUUUGAAUUUUAUUGGCAGUUUCACCCAGAGCUUUGCUUUUUUGGUUGCCAUAAAAUUCUUGAGUGGUGCAGUACUUUGUGGACCAAACUCCAUACAGAAAACUUUUAUAUCCGAAUUUCAUUGCCUGAAGUACAGAACUGUAAUAAUGAUACUAUCAGGAUUUUUGUAUGCAAUUGCCACAAUAAUUAUUCCAGUUGUUGCUUGGUUCAUAAUUCCAAUGUCCUGGUCAGUAACAAUUUUUGGUGACUACAUCAUGUAUAAUUCCUGGAGAUUGUUUGUUACUGUGGGCUCCUUUGCAAGUUUUUUAGCAUCAUUUCUCAUUUAUUUGUGCCCUGAAUCUCCAAAGUUCUUAAUGACAAAAGGUUCCAUGGAUGAAGCAAUGCAAGCUUUCAGAACCAUGUACAGGUUCAACACAGGAAAGAAACCAGAAACAUAUCCAGUUAAACAGCUGAAAGAAGAAGUGAAAACAGAAACUGAAUUGUCAUCUAGUGUUGACAGCAGGAAAACAAACUGCUCAUUAGUAAAAGUUGCCAUGCAUGAAUCAAAGAGACUGCUGCUGAAACCAUUUCGAAGUAGGGCAGUGAUGAUUAUGAUAAUCCAGUUCUCCACAUUGCUUUGCUCAAAUACAAUACGUCUCUGGGUGCCACAGAUGUUUGCAUCGGCAGAAGAAUACAAAGAGCACCAAAAAUAUACAAACAAAACUGAUGAAAUUGCAUCGGUCUGUGAAAUGAUAUCAUUUACUGGAGUUUCCAACUAUUCCACAGCUACCAAUGAAGAGUCAUGUGGAGUGGCUAUGAUUAAAAACACUGUGUACAUAAACAACAUCAUUGUUGCAUGUUCUCAAACCGUGUUUUUUCUGCUUGCCAGUUACAUUGUUAAAUAUAUGGGGAAGAAAAUGACUAUGGUUACGGGAUACAUUGGUGCUGCUGCGUGUUCAAUUUCGGUUUACUGGACAUACAGUCCAUCAGCUGCUUUGGCGUGUUUGGCUCUUUUUGUGUCCUUUACUGGCGUGAGCCACAUCACAAGUUUAGCUGUCCUUGUGGACAUGUUCCCAACAAAUCUCAGGACAAUGGCAAUGGGUCUCAAUUCACUGUCUGGUCAGCUGGGAACUUUCACUGGGAACUAUUCAUUUCCUUAUUUAUUAGCUGCUGAUUGCAUAGCUCCAUUUUCUAUGCUAACUGCUUUGGUAAUUGUGACUGCUGGUGUUACAUUAUUGCUUCCUGACACAAAUAAGGCUUCUCUCCAAUAAGGAACUUAGCAGUGAAAAUGAUCCAUCAAAGGAGAUGAGCUCGAGUUUGAACUGUGUGUUCAUUGGUUGAUCAACUUAGUAGCAGUACCAGAAAAGUGACCAGUACUUCAGUUUUGAAAAUGAAGCUUCACAAAGAGUGAAGAUGCUACGUCAAGCGCUCCCAAUACUCUGAGCACAUUAAGUAAUGAUGACACAGUAGCUCUAUCAUAUGCAUCUUCUAAUCAUGAAGCUGAGAAAGAAGGGCCUAGAUGUGGAGGUAAAUUGUUUCUUUCCCUCCAGAAGAGAGUAAGGAGGAAUUUGAGGUCUAAAUCUCCAUCAGAACACGAGGAAGAAGCACGUGCUAACUUAAAAGCAGCAGCUGCGAGAGAGGAGUUUUCAACCUAUAUGAGCAUGAUGCAAACAAGGUAUGGCGUUUGUCACGUAGGGCACAAAUGCUAGUGAAACAGCACAUAAAUAAUGUGUUAUUCCAUGCUGCUAUGGGUAGAUACGAUGAAGAAAAUCCUCCCAAUAGUCCUGCAGUAGUACUCAUUCAUGGUAAUGUAUUGGAAGUACACAGUCCUUCAUUGAUUCACUCUGAAACCUCUGCUACCAUGACAGAACAACAUCAAGAGGAUUCUGAUUUACGAACACUGACUGACUUUUUUGGUUUGACCUAGCAGCAUCGUGAACUUAAAUGAAAAUAUACUACAAUGUAAUUUGAAUAAAAUUUUGAAAAUAUAAAACAGUACGACAUUUCAAACAGAA